GGCUAAAUGGCUGAUGAACAGCUUUUCUGUGAUUGUAAAUAAAAAAGCAAUUUUGCUCAAUGGUGGGCCUACUUAAGCAAAGCAAACUUGCUUGAGUGCUGCUCUAUAGGGGUCAGAUCAUUUAGAAAAUGCAAUGUUGGUGAGAAUUGAGGUCAUCAUUGUGUUGAGUACCAGCACUCAUAAAACAGAGCUGAAACUACAGAUUUUAGGUAGCUACAGAUUCCACUAAUCAUCUCCACCAACAACCUUAUGCCAUGGUUGUUUUUGUUAAUGUUGCAGAGCAACAGAAUAAUUCAAUUCAAGUGAGCACCCAGAAGUCGUCUUGCUUAUCUGAACUACAGCUGCAUCUGCAAAACUGGACUGGAAAUAUGGAGAGGACAUGCUCUUCAUUAGAUUUCUAAUGUUUCCCUUUUCUAGUCAGGCUGGACUAAUGAGAGCAUCCUGCCCUUGUCCCUGGUUCCAGCCAGAGCCAAAAAGUGAAAUGCAUGUGAAAAAGAAACGGGUAUGUGGAGCAAUAAUAAAGUCCCUCUUGCCACAUCUGAAAAAUGUCAUCUUGGAUUUCAUGAAAGAGCUCUACUCUGAAACCCAAGAUAGUAUUUCAGUGAAAAGAACUGUUGAACUUUCCUUAGAGAGGGAUAAAUCAAUUGCUUAGAAUACCAACACCAUGACUUUCCUCAUCAGCUAUGUUGCCAUGGGAUUGCAGGUAAGGAUUUUUUUUUUUUUUUUGCUUCAGAUUUGUGCAGCUGCACUGAUUUGAAAAAUAACAGAAUGACUUAGUGCCUCAACUUGCAAUUGCUCACUCUUUAUCCUGAUGUUGUAACAUACACAUUUGCAAGCUCCGAUUUUCAGUUAAUGACCACUGGUGUGCGAAUAGGCACUAACUUUUUCUGUUACACUCAUAUUGAUUAUGCAUUACAGGACUAUAAUGGCUAAACCUCUCUCUCUUAGAAGCUAGAGACAUAGAGACAUGACCAAUAGUUUGGAAACAGGUGUGUCAUGGAGACAGUGACAUCAUCUGUUGCCAGAACCUCCUGCCCAGAAGCACAAAAUGACGUUUCCGUUGCAGUAUGUAUAGCUGAUGUAUGGCAACAUACCUGAAAAUGAGGACCAAAGUAUAGGUAGUGAUUCUGAAAGACUGGAAUGAAUUUUCACUGUCUACAAUGGGGGAAACAAAGAAAAUAAAGAGCAAAAAUAUAAUAUACAUUUGAAUGUGAUUUUUGAUGAUAAAAAUUGGGUGAAAGAUUUGGGUGAACGUUUAAAAAAAAUACUUUGGUAAGUAUCUUUAAGCUCAUGCUUUGACAAGUCCUGACUUGGGACUUUUCUCUGCCCAUAAGGAUAUACAGGCUUGACUCUCCAACCUGUUUCACCAUUUAUACGGCUACCUACAACUGUAUAAAGUGCUCUUCUACCAGAUAUCCUCACUCUUCUACAUCUGUGGUAAGUUGGAUUUGAUAGCCUUUGGGCGUUGUUUCCUCACAGAGGCAAAUAACCAUACAAAGUGCAAAGCAGUGGAGAAUAGACUUGUAAGCAGUUACUAUAAGAGGGCUGUUCUUCAAAGGAGAAUACUGCUAAUAUUCUCAUUUGUCAUAGUAUCCUUUGGCUGUGUUUCUACAUGAUGAUAGUCUGAGUUGCACAUAAAGCUGACUAAAGGGAUGCAACACAACUGGUGAGACAAGCACAGUCCAAAAGUCUUCCAGUCUUAGUUCUUGUACCUCUUGCUUCUUCUAGAAGAAGACCUCACUACUACAGUUAGCAAGACAAGUAGGCAUGAGGCAAAACUUAACAGCUGGCUUAAAUGAGAGACAUGAGAGAGGAGGGUGAGGAAAAAAAAAAAAAAAAGGGAAAAAAAAAAGUAUGCUUUUUAUCCCAGACACCAAAAAUAUGAUAAAAUGUACUUUCACUUGAAAGUGCCAGAGUCACAAAAAACUGUGAUGGUUUAAACAUCUGGAAGUUUAAACAUCUGGAAAUGAUGGCCUUUUGAUAUGGUAAAAGCCCUUCACAUCUGAUUACAUUUGGGCUUGGACUUGCCUUUCCAUGUCUUAAGUUCUUCAGUAUAAAAUGUAAUAAGGGAAACUACUUGAAUUGAAAUAAGACCAAAACAAAAAUGUAAACAAAAGAUAAAAACUACCCUUAACUAAAUCAAUAGUAUUAUGGUUAUUUUUUUAGUUUGAUUUCCCAAGAUGUACACUCCCAUUUCCCCAAGUACAGUAUUGUACUUCAAGGGGGAAAUGCUGAAAUGACAUUGGACUAGCUGAUUAUUUCUUGAUGAAUUCUGUAGUUGUAGAGGAUGUCAAAAAGCAGCUGAAUUUCAGCUCUGUUGAUAUGUGUGUCUUGCUGGCUAAACACUCCAUGAAAAAGACUUUUCCAGUAUUUUUUGCAUACCUCACUAAGAAUAUCGGCACUCAUAGAUUUGACAAAAUAACAACAAGAAAGGACAGUUUGGAAUAGAAGCACACAAUGCACCAAUUUGGAGCUGGUGAAAGGUGUCAGAUGAACUUUCUGGAAAAACACAGCAGCCUCAGUCCUUGAGAAUACCAAGUUUGAUGGUUGUUGCUGGACUGAAGACUAAGUCUUACUCUCCAAGUAAGUGGCUACUGAGCAGUUGGCUGGCUGGGAAUGGUGUUCAGGCACUACUGACUUGCAGGGGAUUGGAGGCAGCCUUGUAGAAGCAGAAGAUACUCUGUCAGUGCCAAUCCCCACAAUCAUCUAGUCCUUUGGAGUUAUUUUUUUUUCUUUCUUUUUUUUUUUUUUUUUUCUUGUUAGCCAGAAGCAGUGUGGCUAAAUACACUUUGCAACAGGAAAAAGUCUGAUCCCAUGUUACUCAAAAAGUAGUGUGGUUUGACUUUUCUAUUUUUUUUUAACAGCAAAGCUUUGACCAUUUUUUAUUAAAUGUGCUCUGCCCGCCUUGUCCCUAUCCCAAGCUAAUAUGUUCUACAAUGCUUCU
rnacentral:lncRNA from 1 species